rnacentral:rRNA from 1 species
CAGUCGCCACGGUAAUACGAAGGGGGCUAGCGUUGCUCGGAAUGACUGGGCGUAAAGGGCGCGUAGGCGGCUGACACAGUCAGAUGUGAAAUUCCUGGGCUCAACCUGGGGACUGCAUUUGAGACGUGUUGGCUUGAGUGGAGAAGAGGGUCGUGGAAUUUCCAGUGUAGAGGUGAAAUUCGUAGAUAUUGGAAAGAACACCGGUGGCGAAGGCGGCGACCUGGUCUUUAACUGACGCUGAGGCGCGAAAGCGUGGGGAGCAAACAGGACUAGAUACCCCAGUAGUCCCUGUCUCUUAUAC